rnacentral:rRNA from 1 species
UACAGAGGUCCCAAGCGUUGUUCGGAUUCACUGGGCGUAAAGGGUGCGUAGGUGGCCAGGUAAGUUCGGUGUGAAAGCUCGGAGCUCAACUCCGAAAAGUCAUUGAAUACUAUCUGGCUGGAGGGUCGGAGGGGAGACUGGAAUUCUCGGUGUAGCAGUGAAAUGCGUAGAUAUCGAGAGGAACACCAGUGGCGAAGGCGAGUCUCUGGACGACACCUGACACUGAGGCACGAAGGCCAGGGGAGCGAAUGGG